UCUGCUAAUUGUUCUCUAAUAGCACCUGCUCCUGUCGCAAUUUCCCGAUUUCGAAAUGUUGCAAAGCCUGGGGUAGAAAAAAAGGGAGAAAUGCUGUGGUUACAGGAUGCAAUUUCCUCUUCGAAUAAACCUCGUAAUCGUAAAAAAGUGGGUUUUUUAGUGCUGGGCCUAGCAAAAGAGAAAUCGCCGUAUACUAGGCCCUCCAACUUCUUAAGAGGUUUAUCUAAAAGAUUCGCGAUAUAA
rnacentral:rRNA from 1 species